GUAAUUGUAGUAGCAGCAGUGAUGGCACCGGCCACCUGUCUGGAGCAGCCGCUGCAAAGACACCGGCUGCAGUAGGGGAGGUGCCGCCAGAGCUGCGCACUCAGCAAAGCCAGGGCCCGCCCAUGGCCACCGAUGGACCAAUCAGCAUGCACUUCCUCCCUUCUAAACCCAUAAAAUCCCCCGGACCCAGCCAGACUCGCGCGAAAGUCAGGAGUACCGGCUGCGGGACGGAGCUGCCCACUGUGGGUUUCUCAACUUGUCGGGACAACGUUCCUGCGGAAAGGAGAGACAACCUGCCUGCAGAAAGGAGCUACCUACUUCAGGUCUACUGAGAGCUGUUCUGCCACUCAAUAAAGCUCUUCUCCACCUU